rnacentral:misc_RNA from 1 species
AAAGUCGUAACAAGGUUUCCGUAGGUGAACCUGCGGAAGGAUCAUUAACACGUUCCAAAACGUAUCAACCAAACGGUUAAGUGCAAACUUAUUCCCUGAUAAGGAAAGCUGUUCAACUCUUUUUAGUGAUAGGUAAAUCUUCGGAUUUGCAAAGAGAGUUGACUAGGGUCUCGAGCCCAGUGCUUUUCUUGUUGGGCUUUUCCCCAAUUUUUUCUAUCACUUCCAACUAACCAUUUUCACCCCUUUGAAACUUAUGACUAAAUCUUUCGAACGAAGAAAUUUGUUUGGAAUUGUAUAUCUAACACUGUACAACUCUUAGCAAUGGAUAUCUUGGUUCUC